AGUGGCGAACGGGUGAGUAAUACAUCGGAACGUGCCCAGUAAUGGGGGAUAGCUCGGCGAAAGCCGGAUUAAUACCGCAUACGCCCUGAGGGGGAAAGUGGGGGACCGCAAGGCCUCACGUUAUUGGAGCGGCCGAUGGCUGAUUAGCUAGUUGGUAGGGUAAAGGCCUACCAAGGCGACGAUCAGUAGCUGGUCUGAGAGGACGAUCAGCCACACUGGGACUGAGACACGGCCCAGACUCCUACGGGAGGCAGCAGUGGGGAAUUUUGGACAAUGGGGGAAACCCUGAUCCAGCAAUGCCGCGUGUGCGAAGAAGGCCUUCGGGUUGUAAAGCACUUUUGUCAGGGAAGAAAUCCUUUGGGCUAAUACCCUAGGGGGAUGACGGUACCUGAAGAAUAAGCACCGGCUAACUACGUGCCAGCAGCCGCGGUAAUACGUAGGGUGCAAGCGUUAAUCGGAAUUACUGGGCGUAAAGCGUGCGCAGGCGGUUGUGUAAGACAGGUGUGAAAUCCCCGGGCUUAACCUGGGAAUUGCAUUUGUGACUGCACGACUAGAGUGUGUCAGAGGGGGGUGGAAUUCCACGUGUAGCAGUGAAAUGCGUAGAUAUGUGGAGGAACACCAAUGGCGAAGGCAGCCCCCUGGGAUAACACUGACGCUCAUGCACGAAAGCGUGGGGAGCAAACAGGAUUAGAUACCCUGAUAGUCCACGCCCUAAACGAUGUCAACUAGUUGUUGGGGAUUUACUUCCUUGGUAACGUAGCUAACGCGUGAAGUUGACCGCCUGGGGAGUACGGCCGCAAGGUUAAAACUCAAAGGAAUUGACGGGGACCCGCACAAGCGGUGGAUGAUGUGGAUUAAUUCGAUGCAACGCGAAAAACCUU
rnacentral:rRNA from 1 species